rnacentral:rRNA from 1 species
GAUGAACGCUGGCGGCGUGCCUAAUACAUGCAAGUCGAGCGAACGGACGAGAAGCUUGCUUCUCUGAUGUUAGCGGCGGACGGGUGAGUAACACGUGGAUAACCUACCUAUAAGACUGGGAUAACUUCGGGAAACCGGAGCUAAUACCGGAUAAUAUUUUGAACCGCAUGGUUCAAAAGUGAAAGACGGUCUUGCUGUCACUUAUAGAUGGAUCCGCGCUGCAUUAGCUAGUUGGUAAGGUAACGGCUUACCAAGGCAACGAUGCAUAGCCGACCUGAGAGGGUGAUCGGCCACACUGGAACUGAGACACGGUCCAGACUCCUACGGGAGGCAGCAGUAGGGAAUCUUCCGCAAUGGGCGAAAGCCUGACGGAGCAACGCCGCGUGAGUGAUGAAGGUCUUCGGAUCGUAAAACUCUGUUAUUAGGGAAGAACAUAUGUGUAAGUAACUGUGCACAUCUUGACGGUACCUAAUCAGAAAGCCACGGCUAACUACGUGCCAGCAGCCGCGGUAAUACGUAGGUGGCAAGCGUUAUCCGGAAUUAUUGGGCGUAAAGCGCGCGUAGGCGGUUUUUUAAGUCUGAUGUGAAAGCCCACGGCUCAACCGUGGAGGGUCAUUGGAAACUGGAAAACUUGAGUGCAGAACAUGAAAGUGGAAUUCCAUGUGUAGCGGUGAAAUGCGCAGAGAUAUGGAGGAACACCAGUGGCGAAGGCGACUUUCUGGUCUGUAACUGACGCUGAUGUGCGAAAGCGUGGGGAUCAAACAGGAUUAGAUACCCUGGUAGUCCACGCCGUAAACGAUGAGUGCUAAGUGUUAGGGGGUUUCCGCCCCUUAGUGCUGCAGCUAACGCAUUAAGCACUCCGCCUGGGGAGUACGACCGCAAGGUUGAAACUCAAAGGAAUUGACGGGGACCCGCACAAGCGGUGGAGCAUGUGGUUUAAUUCGAAGCAACGCGAAGAACCUUACCAAAUCUUGACAUCCUUUGACAACUCUAGAGAUAGAGCUUUCCCCUUCGGGGGACAAAGUGACAGGUGGUGCAUGGUUGUCGUCAGCUCGUGUCGUGAGAUGUUGGGUUAAGUCCCGCAACGAGCGCAACCCUUAAGCUUAGUUGCCAUCAUUAAGUUGGGCACUCUAAGUUGACUGCCGGUGACAAACCGGAGGAAGGUGGGGAUGACGUCAAAUCAUCAUGCCCCUUAUGAUUUGGGCUACACACGUGCUACAAUGGACAAUACAAAGGGCAGCGAAACCGCGAGGUCAAGCAAAUCCCAUAAAGUUGUUCUCAGUUCGGAUUGUAGUCUGCAACUCGACUACAUGAAGCUGGAAUCGCUAGUAAUCGUAGAUCAGCAUGCUACGGUGAAUACGUUCCCGGGUCU